UACAGAGGGUGCGAGCGUUAAUCGGAAUUACUGGGCGUAAAGCGUACGCAGGCGGCUAUGUAAGUCGGAUGUGAAAUCCCCGGGCUCAACCUGGGAACUGCAUUCGAAACUGCAUUGCUAGAGUAUGGAAGAGGGAAGUGGAAUUUCCGGUGUAGCGGUGAAAUGCGUAGAUAUCGGAAGGAACACCAGUGGCGAAAGCGACUUCCUGGUCCAAUACUGACGUUCAUGUGCGAAAGCGUGGG
rnacentral:rRNA from 1 species